GGGGCUGACUAUAGCUUUCGACGAUUGGACAUUAACAGAUUACUCAGCAAGUCGAAUUACACCGUAAGUGUUAUUUUAAUUGCAAACUUUGUUGCAAAAGCAAAGUCAGCUGUUGCUACGUUCGCUAACGCGUUUCGUGCACCUGUCUUUGCGCCAGCUUUAGUUUAAUUACUAAAGCCACUUUCUAGUAUAGGCAACAUAUUACUAGCUAAGUGUCAUACUUAUGUUGCUGGUUUUGUUUAGUGCAAUGGCUUUACAAAAUAAGAUUUCACCAACGCAACUUUAUUUGUAUUUUUGUUAUUUCUAAAGCAAAUAAAAGUUGUAAAACAAUUAGAAACAACUAAGCUUGUAGACGAGUAGUCAGUUACCAGUCGGACCCGGGCGCAAUUCCCGGCAGCUCCACCA
rnacentral:tmRNA from 1 species